rnacentral:rRNA from 1 species
AGAGUUUGAUCCUGGCUCAGAUUGAACGCUGGCGGCAUGCCUUACACAUGCAAGUCGAACGGCAGCGCGGGGCAACCUGGCGGCGAGUGGCGAACGGGUGAGUAAUAUAUCGGAACGUACCCUGGAGUGGGGGAUAACGUAGCGAAAGUUACGCUAAUACCGCAUACGAUCUAAGGAUGAAAGUGGGGGAUCGCAAGACCUCAUGCUCCUGGAGCGGCCGAUAUCUGAUUAGCUAGUUGGUAGGGUAAAGGCCUACCAAGGCAUCGAUCAGUAGCUGGUCUGAGAGGACGACCAGCCACACUGGAACUGAGACACGGUCCAGACUCCUACGGGAGGCAGCAGUGGGGAAUUUUGGACAAUGGGCGCAAGCCUGAUCCAGCAAUGCCGCGUGAGUGAAGAAGGCCUUCGGGUUGUAAAGCUCUUUUGUCAGGGAAGAAACGGUGGGGGCUAAUAUCCCUCACUAAUGACGGUACCUGAAGAAUAAGCACCGGCUAACUACGUGCCAGCAGCCGCGGUAAUACGUAGGGUGCAAGCGUUAAUCGGAAUUACUGGGCGUAAAGCGUGCGCAGGCGGUUUUGUAAGUCUGAUGUGAAAUCCCCGGGCUCAACCUGGGAAUUGCAUUGGAGACUGCAAGGCUAGAAUCUGGCAGAGGGGGGUAGAAUUCCACGUGUAGCAGUGAAAUGCGUAGAUAUGUGGAGGAACACCGAUGGCGAAGGCAGCCCCCUGGGUCAAGAUUGACGCUCAUGCACGAAAGCGUGGGGAGCAAACAGGAUUAGAUACCCUGGUAGUCCACGCCCUAAACGAUGUCUACUAGUUGUCGGGUUUUAAUUAACUUGGUAACGCAGCUAACGCGUGAAGUAGACCGCCUGGGGAGUACGGUCGCAAGAUUAAAACUCAAAGGAAUUGACGGGGACCCGCACAAGCGGUGGAUGAUGUGGAUUAAUUCGAUGCAACGCGAAAAACCUUACCUACCCUUGACAUGUACGGAAGUCACGAGAGAUCGAGAUGUGCUCGAAAGAGAACCGUAACACAGGUGCUGCAUGGCUGUCGUCAGCUCGUGUCGUGAGAUGUUGGGUUAAGUCCCGCAACGAGCGCAACCCUCGCCUUUAGUUGCCAUCAUUUAGUUGGGCACUUUAAAGGAACCGCCGGUGAUAAGCCGGAGGAAAGUGGGGAUGACGUCAAGUCCUCAUGGCCCUUACGCGCUGGGCUACACACGUGCUACAAUGGCGGUGACAGUGGGCAGCAAGCACGCGAGGGGGAGCUAAUCGCAGAAAGUGUAUCGUAGUCCGGAUUGUAGUCUGCAACUCGACUGCAUGAAGUUGGAAUCGCUAGUAAUCGCGGAUCAGCAUGUCGCGGUGAAUACGUUCCCGGGUCUUGUACACACCGCCCGUCACACCAUGGGAGCGGGUUCUGCCAGAAGUAGUUAGCCUAACCGCAAGGAGGGCGAUUACCACGGCAGGGUUCGUGACUGGGGUGAAGUCGUAACAAGGUAACC